CCGCAACGAGCGCAACCCUUAAGCUUAGUUGCCAUCAUUAAGUUGGGCACUCUAAGUUGACUGCCGGUGACAAACCGGAGGAAGGUGGGGAUGACGUCAAAUCAUCAUGCCCCUUAUGAUUUGGGCUACACACGUGCUACAAUGGACAAUACAAAGGGCAGCGAAACCGCGAGGUCAAGCAAAUCCCAUAAAGUUGUUCUCAGUUCGGAUUGUAGUCUGCAACUCGACUACAUGAAGCUGGAAUCGCUAGUAAUCGUAGAUCAGCAUGCUACGGUGAAUACGUUCCCGGGUCUUGUACACACCGCCCGUCACACCACGAGAGUUUGUAACACCCGAAGCCGGUGGAGUAACCUUUUAGGAGCUAGCCGUCGAAGGUGGGACAAAUGAUUGGGGUGAAGUCGUAACAAGGUAGCCGUAUCGGAAGGUGCGGCUGGAUCACCUCCUUU
rnacentral:rRNA from 1 species